GAGUGGCGGACGGGUGAGUAAUGCGUAGGAAUCUGUCUUUGAGUGGGGGACAACCCAGGGAAGCUUGGGCUAAUCCGCAUAAGCCCUGAGGGGGAAAGCGGGGGAUCUUCGGACCUCGCGCUGGAAGAGGAGCCUACGUCUGAUUAGCUAGUUGGUAGGGUAAAGGCCUACCAAGGCGACGAUCGGUAGCUGGUUUGAGAGGACGACCAGCCACACUGGGACUGAGACACGGCCCAGACUCCUACGGGAGGCAGCAGUGGGGAAUUUUUCGCAAUGGGGGCAACCCUGACGAAGCAAUGCCGCGUGAAUGAAGAAGGCCUUCGGGUUGUAAAGUUCUUUCGUGGAGGACGAAAAGGGGGGUGCUAAUAUCGCCUGCUGUUGACA
rnacentral:rRNA from 1 species